AGAGUUUGAUCCUGGCUCAGGACGAACGCUGACGGUGUGCUUUAGGCAUGCAAGUCGAACGAGAAAGCCCUUCGGGGUGAGUAAAGUGGCGAACGGGUGAGUAACACGUGGGCAACCUGCCCCUCGCAGGGGGACAACCGGAGGAAACUCCGGCUAAUACCCCGUACGCUUGUUGGAUCGCAUGGUCCGGCAAGGAAAGGUAGCUUCGGCCAUCCGGCGAGGGAUGGGCCCCGUUGCAUUAGCUAGUUGGUGGGGUAACGGCCUACCAAGGCGACGAUGCGUAGCUGGUCUGAGAGGAUGAUCAGCCACACUGGGACUGAGACACGGCCCAGACUCCUACGGGAGGCAGCAGCCAGGAAUCUUGGGCAAUGGGCGAAAGCCUGACCCAGCAACACCGUGUGGGCGAUGAAGGCCUUAGGGUCGUAAAGCCCUGUUGAUAGGGACGGAGGGCGAAGGGUUAAUAGCCCCUAGCUUGACGGUACCUUUCGAGGAAGCCCCGGCUAACUACGUGCCAGCAGCCGCGGUAAUACGUAGGGGGCGAGCGUUGUCCGGAAUUAUUGGGCGUAAAGAGCGUGUAGGCGGUUCGGUAAGUCUGCUGUGAAAUCCUGGGGCUCAACCCUGGGCGUGCAGCGGAUACUGCCGGGCUAGAGGGUGGUAGAGGCGAGUGGAAUUCCGAGUGUAGCGGUGAAAUGCGCAGAUAUUCGGAGGAACACCAGUAGCGAAGGCGGCUCGCUGGGCCACACCUGACGCUGAGACGCGAAAGCGUGGGGAGCGAACAGGAUUAGAUACCCUAGUAGUCC
rnacentral:rRNA from 1 species